rnacentral:rRNA from 1 species
AUUGAACGCUGGCGGCAGGCCUAACACAUGCAAGUCGAGCGCCCAGCGAUGGGGAGCGGCGGACGGGUGAGUAACGCGUGGGAACGUACCCUUUGCUACGGAAUAGCCUCGGGAAACUGGGAGUAAUACCGUAUGUGCCCCUUGGGGGAAAGAUUUAUCGGCAAAGGAUCGGCCCGCGUUGGAUUAGGUAGUUGGUGGGGCAAUGGCCUACCAAGCCGACGAUCCAUAGCUGGUUUGAGAGGAUGAUCAGCCACACUGGGACUGAGACACGGCCCAGACUCCUACGGGAGGCAGCAGUGAGGAAUAUUGCGCAAUGGAGGCAACUCUGACGCAGCCAUGCCG